rnacentral:misc_RNA from 1 species
CAACCCUCAAGCUCUGCUUGGUGUUGGGGAUCGGCGUCGCGGCCUUCGGGCUGCUGCCGUCCCCUAAAUCUAGUGGCGGUCCCGCUGUAGCCUCCUCUGCGUAGUAGUUUUCUCCUCGCACUGGCAGCUUAGUGGUGACCUCGCCGUAAAACCCCCAACUUCUGAAAGG